GAUUCCAUGGAGCAUAUGCUC
rnacentral:miRNA from 18 species